GGCUGGUUUUUCAGUUUUCUUAUUGUUGGUGUUUUUUAACCGAAGUAGCGAAUUUUACAGAUUUAAAAUUUCUUUCUCAUUGUUAUCUACACAAACAAAAGGUUGUAAAUUUUCUCCUUUAAUUAUUUCUAAUCUAUUCUAGUAAACGUUUAUUAAAUAUGUAAAAUAAAGUUAGAAGCCGGUAGUUAAAAGGUGUUUCUUAGCAAUUCUUGUGAUAUUUAUGAUGGAUGCUGAGUUUACGGGCUGUAGUUUACGGAUUUCUGUACAGUGGUGGGGAAAAAGUGGAUCGGUCACAUGGCGUCUGAUCUAAGCAAUUGUAGUAAGAGCAAAAACAAUUUCAAGCUUUAUGAGAAAACGUAGUUGAUAUGCAUUCGUGUAUUCAGUGAAAUAACUAUGUUAUACUUAUUUUCUGAAAAUAGGCUAAUAUCUCACUGGCAGUAAGAGGGUAAAUUUCAAUCGAAAUAAAGGAAUUCCCGUGGCGUGUUAAACAAACAUAUUACUUUUGGUCAGCACAAAAAUGUCAAAAUAUAUUUAGCGUUAUUAUUCAAUUUCUGGAGAGUGGGUUGCUUCAGAUUCAAAUAGGGCGGGCACUAUGUUCAGGUUUAUCAUAAACACUUUAAAUGACUGUUGGUUUUUAUGUAGCAAUAUUAAAAGGAACUUAAUUGUGGCAAUGCGGCAAUAGUCGGUACUUACUGCAGUUAAGAGGUGGUCUUAUGGCGCAUUUAUUUAUAAUUACCAAGACAGUUUGUUGAGUCACGUUUUAGUUCAUAUGCAAUAAAUCUCUAAAAGGUUUGUUAAUUAUUAUAGUGGGUUAGCUAUAAGCCAAAUAUGGCUUUUUUCGGUAUUUACUUAUUAUCUUUAUUGUUUAUUUUAUUGCACACAUGGAAACGCGAAACCGGAAAAGGCGCCGUCCGUCGGUCAAACUACACCAGCAUCCCAGCCAAAACCUACCUGGCACCAGCCAACAACCCCGUCAGCUGCCUUCCACCCAAAUGCCCGAUCAGCUGCCUCCCAACCAACAGCCUGUCCAGCUGCCUCCCAACCAACAGCCUGUCCAGCUGCCUCUCACCCCCAGCCAUCGACUCGGUCAAUGGUCUUCAAACCAACAGUCCGGCCAUCAACCCGACCAGCUGCCUCUCAGUCAACAACUGGGCGACCAGAUGCAGCCUGCAGCAAGCCAGCCAGAUCCGGCUGUUCAAUCGGUGUCUACGAAGCAAAACUGUUCACUGCAGCUUUUAUGCUAGCGUUUUUCGGUUUUCUAAGAGUGGGCGAAAUAGCUGUUCCUAAAAAAGGUGAUAGUAUUUUACAGGCAGCGGUGUUGGCAAUAGAAGAUUUACAAUUUGAUUACAAUGGGGUAAUCAUUUCAAUCCGGCAUUCAAAAACUGAUCAGUUGGGCAAAGGGGUAGCGCUCAAAAUUACUAGGUCAAACAGUGAAUUUUGCCCAGUUGUGUGUCUUAACCAGUAUCUUCAUGUUCGUCCUCAAGGGCCUGGUCCCUUGUUUUUGCACUUUAACAAACAACCAAUUACUCGUUACCAAUUUUCUGCUAUUCUUAAGAAAACGGUUUCUCUUUUGGGUCUAAAUUAUGGGUCUUACAAAUCCCACUCCUUCAGAAUUGGAGCAGCAACUGCAGCUUCCCAACUAGGCUAUUCAGUGGAGAUCAUUAAACAGGCAGGCAGAUGGGCUUCCAAUGCCUACCAAACAUAUGUUCGUCCUGUUCCUGUUGUCAUGCCCAGCCUAAUAAAUAACCCCCAUUAAAAAGGUAUGGUUCAUAUAGUUAGAUUCAUGUGACUAACAAAAACCAAGUUGUAUUUAGGGAAAACCAUCUGGAUACUGGGUUCAUCAAUAAUCAAGCAAGCCUUCAUAGCAGCAAGAUUACGACCUGAAGGGGCCAACCUCUGCCUUGAACCCAACAUCAUCUGGUGGCAAGGGUACAGUGGGUUAACAUUUGCAGAAUCAAAGAAAAAAUUUCUUUCGCUUGCCAAUGUGGGUAAUUCUCCAGACUAUAUUGUGUUACAUGUAGGUGGUAAUGAUCUUGGUCGUCGGUCACUGGUGGACCUUCGAAAAUUGAUUGUCGAGCUAUUCAGGACUAUACUGUCUAUAUUUCCAAGUGUUAAGAUUGUAUGGUCUGCAGUGCUUCCAAGGUCAAAUUGGAGAUAUUCUGAUAAUAAAGUUGCUAUGGACAAAGCAAGAAAGCGCCUUAAUAGUCAUGGUUCAUCUAGGGCUUUGGCAUGUGGAGGGCAUUAAUUGGCCAACUCUGACUUUUGAAAAUUUGAGGAACAUUUGUUUGAGAAGGACGGAGUCCACUUGUCAACUCUGGGUACAGAUAUUUUUCUUUCUAAUAUGUCUGCAGGGCUUGAAAAAUUUAUAAAGCAUAAUACACCAAUCCAUUACUGAAGUUCUAGAUGCACAAAUUUGGGGGUUCUUACAAUUUUAAAUCCCAAACAUUAUGUAUGUUGGUGUUGCUAUUGAGUCCAAAAAUAGAUAUUUGCAGUUAGUUUGUAUGCAUAUUUUUCUUACUCAUAUGUAUGAAAAAAGAAAAAAGAAAGUUUUUUGCUGCUAAUUUUUAUGCAAUUUUUUGCUGCUAGUUUUUAUGCAUUUGUUUUCUGCUGGGUUUUAUGCAUUUUUGCUGCUAGUUUUUAUUCAUAUCUUUGCCUUGUGUUUACAGUUUACUGCUUCCGACUCCAAGCAUGCGUCCAUCCGCCCUGCAGCCAAAGUUCUUUGGCAGUGGCCACCCGUCAUCUCUGGCCCAGCUGGUUUCGAAGUUGGGGCAUUUGGGCCGCUGGGUCAGCGUUGUUGGGUGGCCAUAUGGCAAUCAGUGCCGGAUGGACGCUUUUUACCUGGCACAUUUUUUGGGGAAAAUAUAUAUGAUUUUGUUGGGAGUGCUGAUGGCCGUCACCCGGAGUCAGCACUCAUAUACAAUUUAUUUGUGCAGUUAGUUAUUUGCAGUUAGUUUGGGCUUGCCAUGUUCGCAGGUGGCCCUUGCUGCUUGGAGUCGAGACAUUAUAUGCCAGAACCAUUUUUAUGUUUUUAUGUUAUAAGGUCCUUUAAUAAAAAGUAAAAAUUUAGUUGAGUUUAUAUUUACUGUGUGAAAAGGGUUAUUCAUCGGAGUUUUCAUAUAGGCUUGCCCAUGUAAUGCUAGGUGGCAGUUUGGGUUUAGUUCUUGGCCUCUACAAUAAUAUGGUCUAUUACUAAAUAAUAGACCUGUUUAUUGUUGGGCCACUGCUGGGCUGGUUUUUCAGUUUUCUUAUUGUUGGUGUUUUUUAACCGAAGUAGCGAAUUUUACAGAUUUAAAAUUUCUUUCUCAUUGUUAUCUACACAAACAAAAGGUUGUAAAUUUUCUCCCCUCCCACCCAACCCAUGUAGUUUGUUUUGACACAGUGUUGUUCUGUCACACUUUACUGCGUCCGUUAUAUAUUUAAAAAUUUGGUCAGGCUUAGGGUAAAUAUAGAUUUAUUUUAAGUUUUAUUUGCCUGUCCACAUUAAUUUUAAUAACAUAAGGGGAAACUGAUUGUUUUCCGUACUAGAUUUGGUUUUAGUAUAUUACAUAUUCUGCUGGUUUGAGUUGCGUUUUUCAGUUUGCCGUGUAGACGCAGAGUACCAAACGUCGGAUACUGGUCGGUCACGACUCCACUUCCGAUGGGGCAGUUCGGACACCUCGGGUUCGUCGACAGUCGCUUGAAGUUAACAGUUCCUUGGCAAUCAGUGCCGGAUGGACGCUUUUUACCUGGCACAUUUUUUGGGGAAAAUAUAUAUGAUUUUGUUGGGAGUGCUGAUGGCCGUCACCCGGAGUCAGCACUCAUAUACAAUUUAUUUGUGCAGUUAGUUAGUUUGGGCUUGCCAUGUUCGCAGGUGGCCCUUGCUGCUUGGAGUCGAGACAUUAUAUGCCAGAACCAUUUUUUUUAUGUUUUUAUGUUAUAAGGUCCUUUAAUAAAAAGUAAAAAUUUA